UUCUCGGGGCUCGCAAUUGUCCUCUCUUUUCUUUACUUGGUAGCGCCUUAUUCGGCAGAGGGUUAGAAUUUUAAGACACUGUCUAUACUUGGUCACGACUAGCUCUGCUGAGCUAGGUCUGAUCGAGCACUCUCUAUCUUUGUCCAUUUUCGCCUUACCAAACAAGAGUGGCUUCUUAUCAACUCGUCAAUCAACCAGAAGAAGACUGGAAAAGGAUUUCCCGGGUUUGAUUAUGUAAUUUUGUUGCCUUUCUUGUAGGUUGUGGCCAUAGAGGGAGCUGUGAAGAGAGGUACUAGAGUUGAGGACAGAGAAUUUGUCCUCUUAACAGAGUUGUUCAUGAUUCAACUACUUACACUUGAUAGUAUUGAGGCAGAAGGAGAAGCAAGAACUCAAAGGAGAAAGGAGGUUCAUCCCAUUCAUAGUUUUGUUGAUAUGAUUGACAAUUUUAAACCAAGAAACUCUAACCUUGUUAGCUUUUGUAGUAGUGGUACUAAUACAACGUGACUACCAAAUGCAAAAGUUUGAUUCAGGAAUUGGAAGCCUCAAUGCACCAAAUCAAUUACAUCAAUCCACAAAAAUCCCUCAGGAAUGGGAAGUUUUUGACUGAUUCUGAGUUUUGGGAUUUUUUUUUUUAAUUUAGUGAUCAACUAUAUAUUGUCUUGUUAAAGUCGUUCUUAUUGCUUGUGUAUAAUUUGUUGGAGCAGUUGUAUUGCACUUUUUAUGGUUAAGAAAUGCACGAUGUCUGGUAUUCGUUUUGAGACUCGAUCAAAACGUAUUUGGUGGAAUAAAAUGUAAUGAAGGAUCCCACUGAACUGAACUGGCUCCGAAAAUCUAAGAAAUGAUGAGAAUUCUUGAUCCCUCUCA